rnacentral:rRNA from 1 species
AGCGGCGGACGGGUGAGUAACGCGUGGGUAACCUGCCUCAUACAGGGGGAUAACAGUUGGAAACGGCUGCUAAUACCGCAUAAGCGCACAGUACCGCAUGGUACCGUGUGAAAAACUCCGGUGGUAUGAGAUGGACCCGCGUCUGAUUAGCUAGUUGGUGGGGUAACGGCCUACCAAGGCGACGAUCAGUAGCCGACCUGAGAGGGUGACCGGCCACAUUGGGACUGAGACACGGUCCAAACUCCUACGGGAGGCAGCAUG